rnacentral:rRNA from 1 species
UAUUGCGCAAUGGACGAAAGUCUGACGCAGCAACGCCGCGUGGGUGAUGAAGCAUUUUGGUGUGUAAAACCCUGUCAGUGGGGAAGACCCCGUACCGGUAGUAACUGACCGGUGCCUGACGGUACCCGCAGAGGAAGUCCCGGCUAACUCCGUGCCAGCAGCCGCGGUAAUACGGGGGGGGGCGAGCGUUGUUCGGAUUUACUGGGCGUAAAGGGCGCGUAGGCGGGCCUUCAAGUCGGGUGUGAAAACUGAAAGCUAAACUUUCCGACUGCAUUCGAUACUGUUGGUCUUGAGUACAGUAGAGGAAAGCGGAAUUCCAGGUGUAGCGGUGAAAUGCGUAGAUAUCUGGAAGAACACCAGUAGCGAAGGCGGCUUUCUGGGCUAUACGACGCAAAGCGCGAAG